rnacentral:rRNA from 1 species
UACAGAGGGGGGCAAGCGUUUGUUCGGAAUUACUGGGCGUAAAGGGCGCGUAGGCGGCCUUCUAAGUCGAACGUGAAAUCCCUGGGCUCAACCCAGGAACUGCGUCCGAUACUGGAAGGCUUGAAUCCGGGAGAGGGAUGCGGAAUUCCAGGUGUAGCGGUGAAAUGCGUAGAUAUCUGGAGGAACACCGGUGGCGAAGGCGGUUCUCUGGGCAUUACCUGACGCUGAGGAGCGAAAGUGUGGGGGAGCGAACAGG